GGUGUCGUGGUGUAGUUGGUUAUCACGUAUGUCUAACACACUGAAAGUCUAUGGUUCGAGUUUGGACGACGCUA
rnacentral:tRNA from 1 species